CUUACCUUAGUUUAAUUAAAAUAGUGGUUUUGGGGAUCAUUGAUCUCGGUUGAGAGGUUUGA
rnacentral:tRNA from 1 species